CUUAUGCGUUGUUGGGUAGGGGAGCGUUCUGUAAGCCUGCGAAGGUGUGCUGUGAGGCAUGCUGGAGGUAUCAGAAGUGCGAAUGCUGACAUAAGUAACGAUAAAGCGGGUGAAAAGCCCGCUCGCCGGAAGACCAAGGGUUCCUGUCCAACGUUAAUCGGGGCAGGGUGAGUCGACCCCUAAGGCGAGGCCGAAAGGCGUAGUCGAUGGGAAACAGGUUAAUAUUCCUGUACUUGGUGUUACUGCGAAGGGGGGACGGAGAAGGCUAUGUUGGCCGGGCGACGGUUGUCCCGGUUUAAGCGUGUAGGCUGGUUUUCCAGGCAAAUCCGGAAAAUCAAGGCUGAGGCGUGAUGACGAGGCACUACGGUGCUGAAGCAACAAAUGCCCUGCUUCCAGGAAAAGCCUCUAAGCAUCAGGUAACAUCAAAUCGUACCCCAAACCGACACAGGUGGUCAGGUAGAGAAUACCAAGGCGCUUGAGAGAACUCGGGUGAAGGAACUAGGCAAAAUGGUGCCGUAACUUCGGGAGAAGGCACGCUGAUAUGUAGGUGAAGUCCCUCGCGGAUGGAGCUGAAAUCAGUCGAAGAUACCAGCUGGCUGCAACUGUUUAUUAAAAACACAGCACUGUGCAAACACGAAAGUGGACGUAUACGGUGUGACGCCUGCCCGGUGCCGGAAGGUUAAUUGAUGGGGUCAGCGCAAGCGAAGCUCUUGAUCGAAGCCCCGGUAAACGGCGGCCGUAACUAUAACGGUCCUAAGGUAGCGAAAUUCCUUGUCGGGUAAGUUCCGACCUGCACGAAUGGCGUAAUGAUGGCCAGGCUGUCUCCACCCGAGACUCAGUGAAAUUGAACUCGCUGUGAAGAUGCAGUGUACCCGCGGCAAGACGGAAAGACCCCGUGAACCUUUACUAUAGCUUGACACUGAACAUUGAGCCUUGAUGUGUAGGAUAGGUGGGAGGCUUUGAAGUGUGGACGCCAGUCUGCAUGGAGCCGACCUUGAAAUACCACCCUUUAAUGUUUGAUGUUCUAACGUGGACCCGUGAUCCGGGUUGCGGACAGUGUCUGGUGGGUAGUUUGACUGGGGCGGUCUCCUCCUAAAGAGUAACGGAGGAGCACGAAGGUUGGCUAAUCCUGGUCGGACAUCAGGAGGUUAGUGCAAUGGCAUAAGCCAGCUUGACUGCGAGCGUGACGGCGCGAGCAGGUGCGAAAGCAGGUCAUAGUGAUCCGGUGGUUCUGAAUGGAAGGGCCAUCGCUCAACGGAUAAAAGGUACUCCGGGGAUAACAGGCUGAUACCGCCCAAGAGUUCAUAUCGACGGCGGUGUUUGGCACCUCGAUGUCGGCUCAUCACAUCCUGGGGCUGAAGUAGGUCCCAAGGGUAUGGCUGUUCGCCAUUUAAAGUGGUACGCGAGCUGGGUUUAGAACGUCGUGAGACAGUUCGGUCCCUAUCUGCCGUGGGCGCUGGAGAACUGAGGGGGGCUGCUCCUAGUACGAGAGGACCGGAGUGGACGCAUCACUGGUGUUCGGGUUGUCAUGCCAAUGGCACUGCCCGGUAGCUAAAUGCGGAAGAGAUAAGUGCUGAAAGCAUCUAAGCACG
rnacentral:rRNA from 1 species